AGUGAACGCUGGCGGUAGGCCUAACACAUGCAAGUCGAACGGCAGCACAGGAGAGCUUGCUCUCUGGGUGGCGAGUGGCGGACGGGUGAGGAAUACAUCGGAAUCUACUCUGUCGUGGGGGAUAACGUAGGGAAACUUACGCUAAUACCGCAUACGACCUACGGGUGAAAGCAGGGGAUCUUCGGACCUUGCGCGAUUGAAUGAGCCGAUGUCGGAUUAGCUAGUUGGCGGGGUAAAGGCCCACCAAGGCGACGAUCCGUAGCUGGUCUGAGAGGAUGAUCAGCCACACUGGAACUGAGACACGGUCCAGACUCCUACGGGAGGCAGCAGUGGGGAAUAUUGGACAAUGGGCGCAAGCCUGAUCCAGCCAUACCGCGUGGGUGAAGAAGGCCUUCGGGUUGUAAAGCCCUUUUGUUGGGAAAGGAAUCCAGCUGGCUAAUACCCGGUUGGGAUGGCGGUACCCAAAGAAUAAGCACCGGCUAACUUCGUGCCAGCCGCCGCGGUAA
rnacentral:rRNA from 1 species